rnacentral:lncRNA from 1 species
AAUGGGAAUAGCGCUAUAAAAACAUCUGUGCUGAGCAAGCACAAUGCCUUAAGUUUUAUCUGAAAUUCAGAUUGGAUGAGGGGUUUUGGGCUUAUGGUGGUGAUACUCAUUCAAGCACAUCUGUUGUACAUUUUCUGGCAGUUUCUGAGAUUUAUAUCCUGGAAGAUACUGCCCCAGGCACAGUCAUUUACCGAGCAGCAGCCAACGACCCAGAGGAUGCUGUUUUGGAGUACUUCAUUUCCCCGGAGGGCUCUGGCUUUACAAUCAACAGCAUUGGAACAAUUUCCACAGCAGCAGUUUUUGAUUUUGAAAGUGGAUCUAGAAGGGGCCAUGAAAUCACUUGUUCAAAUCCUGAUGAAAGUGUUAGAAAGGCUCAUUGCUUUCUUCCUUCCUUGCUGUCAUCAACCCUCCAGCAUUCAGCUAGACCACAGGUAACUUGAAUUCUUUAAUGCUGCGGAUCUCGUCCACAUCUUAUUCCUUCUAUUCUUGUAGUGAAGGCUUCCCAGAAUUAUUAUUUAUUUAUUUAUUUAUUUAUUUGAGAUGGAAUCUCGCUCUGUUGCCCAGGCUGGAGUGUGGUGGCGCAAUCUCGGCUCACUGCAAGCUCCACCUCCCGGAUUCAUGCCAUUCUCCUGCCUCAGCCUCCUGAGUAGCUGGGACUACAGGUGCCCACCACCACGCCCAGCUAACUUUGUGUGUGUGUGUGUGUGUGUGUGUGUGUGUGUAAUUUUUAGUAGAGACAGGGUUUCACUGUAUUAGCCAGGAUGGUCUCAAUCUCCUGACC